rnacentral:rRNA from 1 species
GCGUGAACGAUGAAGGCUUUCGGGUCGUAAAGUUCUGUUGUUAGGGAAGAACAAGUACCAGAGUAACUGCUGGUACCUUGACGGUACCUAACCAGAAAGCCACGGCUAACUACGUGCCAGCAGCCGCGGUAAUACGUAGGUGGCAAGCGUUAUCCGGAAUUAUUGGGCGUAAAGCGCGCGCAGGUGGUUCUUUAAGUCUGAUGUGAAAGCCCCCGGCUCAACCGGGGAGGGUCAUUGGAAACUGGGGAACUUGAGUAUAGAAGAGGAAAGUGGAAUUCCACGUGUAGCGGUGAAAUGCGUAGAGAUGUGGAGGAACACCAGUGGCGAAGGCGACUUUCUGGUCUAUAACUGACACUGAGGCGCGAAAGCGUGGGGAGCAAACAGGAUUAGAUACCCUGGUAGUCCACGCCGUAAACGAUGAGUGCUAAGUGUUAGAGGGUUUCCGCCCUUUAGUGCUGCAGCUAACGCAUUAAACACUCCCCCUGGGGAGUACGGCCGCAAGGCU